rnacentral:rRNA from 1 species
CCUACGGGUGGCAGCAGUAGGGAAUAUUGCUCAAUGGGGGAAACCCUGAAGCAGCAACGCCGCGUGGAGGAUGAAGGUUUUCGGAUUGUAAACUCCUUUUGUUAGAGAAGAUAAUGACGGUAUCUAACGAAUAAGCACCGGCUAACUCCGUGCCAGCCGCCGCGGUACAACGGAGGGUGCAGGCGUUACCCGGAAUCACUGGGCGUAAGGAGCGCGUAGGCGGGAUAGCAAGUCAGAUGUGAAUUCCUAUGGCUUAAGCAUAGAACUGCAUUUGAAACUGUUAUUCUAGAGUGUGGAGGAGGUAGGAGGAAUGCGUGGUGUAGGGGUAAAAUGCAUAGAGAUCA